UACGUAGGGUGCGAGCGUUGUCCGGAAUUACUGGGCGUAAAGGGCGCGUAGGCGGUGUGUCACGUCGGCCGUGAAAACCUGCAGCUUAACUGUGGGCGUGCGGUCGAUACGGGCAUCACUGGAGUUCGGCAGGGGAGACUGGAAUUCCUGGUGUAGCGGUGAAAUGCGCAGAUAUCAGGAGGAACACCGGUGGCGAAGGCGGGUCUCUGGGCCGAUACUGACGCUGAGGAGCGAAAGCGUGGGGAGCGAACAGG
rnacentral:rRNA from 1 species